CCGGGGGUAGGUUAUUUAAAUAUUGGUUUUGGGGGCCGGGGGUAGAAAAGUUUUUCCUCCCCCGA
rnacentral:tRNA from 1 species